rnacentral:rRNA from 1 species
GUCGAACGGCAGCACAGUAAGAGCUUGCUCUUAUGGGUGGCGAGUGGCGGACGGGUGAGGAAUACCUCGGAGUCUACUUUUUCGUGGGGGAUAACGUAGGGAAACUUACGCUAAUACCGCAUACGACCUACGGGUGAAAGCAGGGGAUCUUCGGACCUUGCGCGAUUGAAUGAGCCGAUGUCUGAUUAGCUAGUUGGCGGGGUAAAGGCCCACCAAGGCGACGAUCCGUAGCUGGUCUGAGAGGAUGAUCAGCCACACUGGAACUGACACACGGCCCACACUCCUACGGGAGGCAGCAGUGGGGAAUAUUGGACAAUGGGCGCAAGCCUGAUCCAGCCAUACCGCGUGGGUGAAGAAGGCCUUCGGGUUGUAAAGCCCUUUUGUUGGGAAAGAAAUCCAGCCGGCUAAUACCUGGUUGGGAUGACGGUACCCAAAGAAUAAGCACCGGCUAACUUCGUGCCAGCAGCCGCGGAAAUACGAAGGGUGCAAGCGUUACUCUGAAUUACUGGGCGUAGAGCGUGCGUAGGUGGUUGUUUAGGUCUGUUGUGAGAGCCCUGGGCUCAACCUGGGAACUGC